GAUAUGGGUUUUUGGGUUUAAAAUAAUGAAUAAUUCAUAAGGAGCAUGAAUAAUGCAAUGUUAUUUUCUGGCUGUUCCUUUUAGUGUACUUACCCCGCCAGCCUAAUUGCCCUAGUUAACAAGUUUGGACAUAUGUUCGUCGACAUUUAGGUCAUUUGAUAAUUCUAUCUUGAGAAUGAUUAUUUGGUAACAGUAUGUCAUCAUCAUUGUCAGUAAUCAAAGUCAACACUCCUUCUGAGUCAAUUUUAUGCGCGACGAGGGGUUGUGGUCAUUGCAUUACGGUAAGAGCGCUACCGCUCACAUGGUUUGUCCUCUUGCGAGCGGGCCGUGAAAGAAGCUCAGACCGAGCCAACCUUUGUCUAAAAGUCGCCCACUUUUCCCUCAUUUUUGGGCUGAGACAUUGCUGUCACAAGCUUUGAAGGUUGACAUCUCAAGUGCAUUACAGGCCUUCUCUAUUUUAUAUCAGGCUGAGACAUUGCUGUCACAAGCUUUGAAGGUUGACAUCUCAAGUGCAUUACAGGCCUUCUCUAUUUUAUAUCAGGGGUCUUCUUUUAUGGUCUUCAUUGUCGUCUUAUUGGAAUCUUUGUUCGGAUCUUCAUUUGGAUUAUUUUGUAUAAUUGGAGAAAGUGAAUUAAAUUAAAACUUAAUCAAGUGAAUCAGUGUAAACAACCGUCUGAGUGUUCCAGUUCAAUUCUACUUGCUUUCCACCUUACUCUAUCUUCAUGAGGGUGAACCUGACCACCCUUAUCAUCGU
rnacentral:lncRNA from 1 species